UGCUUCUUGGUGUAAAAAACACUUCUAACUUGCACUUAGAGGAUGGGAAAGUCCCAGAAGCGA
rnacentral:tRNA from 1 species